rnacentral:rRNA from 1 species
UACGGAGGAUGCGAGCGUUAUCCGGAAUGAUUGGGCGUAAAGGGUCCGCAGGUGGCAGUGUAAGUCUGCUGUCAAAGAAUGAGGCUUAACCUUAUCAAGGCAGUGGAAACUACACAGCUAGAGUACGGUCGGGGUAGAAGGAAUUCCUGGUGUAGCGGUGAAAUGCGUAGAGAUCGGCAGGAACACCCAGGGGGAAACCAGUCGACUGGGCAUCUACUGACGCUGAGGUGCGAGAGCGUGGGGAGCGAACCGG